rnacentral:rRNA from 1 species
UACGUAGGGUGCGAGCGUUGUCCGGAAUUAUUGGGCGUAAAGGGCUCGUAGGCGGUUUGUCGCGUCGGGAGUGAAAACCCAGGGCUUAACCCUGGGCUGGCUUCCGAUACGGGCAGACUAGAGGUAUGCAGGGGAGAACGGAAUUCCUGGUGUAGCGGUGAAAUGCGCAGAUAUCAGGAGGAACACCGGUGGCGAAGGCGGUUCUCUGGGCAUUACCUGACGCUGAGACGCGAAAGCGUGGGGAGCAAACAGG